AACGUAGGAGACAAACGUUAUCCGGAGUUACUGGGCGUAAAGGGCGUGCAGGUGGUCUGUUAAGUCUGGUGUGAAAGCUCUCGGCUAAACCGGGAGAGGUCGUUGGAUACUGGCGGACUAGAGGACGGUAGAGGUGUGUGGAAUUCCGGGUGUAGUGGUGAAAUGCGUAGAGAUCCGGAGGAACACCAGUGGCGAAGGCGACACACUGGGCCGUACCUGACACUAAGACGCGACAGCAUGGGGAGCGAACGGG
rnacentral:rRNA from 1 species